rnacentral:rRNA from 1 species
ACGCACGCUGGCGGCGCGCCUAACCCAUGCAAGUCGAACGAGCGAGAGAGAGCUUGCUUUCUCGAGCGAGUGGCGAACGGGUGAGUAACGCGUGAGGAACCUGCCUCAAAGAGGGGGACAACAGUUGGAAACGACUGCUAAUACCGCAUAAGCCCACGACCCGGCAUCGGGUAGAGGGAAAAGGAGCAAUCCGCUUUGAGAUGGCCUCGCGUCCGAUUAGCUAGUUGGUGAGGUAACGGCCCACCAAGGCGACGAUCGGUAGCCGGACUGAGAGGUUGAACGGCCACAUUGGGACUGAGACACGGCCCAGACUCCUACGGGAGGCAGCAGUGGGGAAUAUUGCACAAUGGGGGAAACCCUGAUGCAGCGACGCCGCGUGGAGGAAGAAGGUCUUCGGAUUGUAAACUCCUGUUGUGGAGGAAGAUAAUGACGGUACUCAACAAGGAAGUGACGGCUAACUACGUG